GACGUACUGCGCGAACGUUAUUCGGAAUCACUGGGCUUAAAGGGUGCGCAGGCGGCUUCUCAAGCCCGGGGUGAAAUGCCCCGGCCCAACCGGGGACGUGCUUCGGGGACUGAGAGGCUCGGGCGAGCUAGGGGUCUGUGGAACUCCCGGUGGAGCGGUGAAAUGUGUUGAGAUCGGGAGGAACGCCGGUGGCGAAAGCGACAGACUGGGCUUUGCCGACGCUCAGGCACGAAAGCCAGGGGAGCGAACGGG
rnacentral:rRNA from 1 species